GUAAAAUUACAAGAGUAAAAAUUCCGGAGUUAAAAUUAUUUUACUCAAAAAUAGUAUUUUUUGCUCUGAUAUGAGGUGAAAGAACGAAAAAAGAGUUGAGAGACACGCAGAGUUAGAUCAGAAUAACGGAGUCAUAAUUUUGACUCCUCCCAGAGGGCAACGCAGUUAAGUUUCGUUUUGUCCACCAUUACACCUUACACCGAUGGUCAUUUCACCUGCAACCGGUCUGGAGAAAAGUCUGCUAGGAAAAUAACAAAGAUGGAGGCAACUGUUAGGGUGAAAUAUAAGGACAGAAAGAAGUACUUCUUCCUAACAUCACCUUUUAAAUUCGAAGUCUUUUUGGAAAGUGUUGCCAAGAAGUUUGAUCUACCCACCCUGGAUAUUAAAGUCUAUGAUGAAACCAGGACCGAAAUCGAUGAUGAGGCAUUCGAAUACAUUCUAAAACAACAGGAUAUUGGGGUCUUAGAAAUUGGGAUCCCAACAGCAAGUGCUGAUGAUUCCUUCAGUUCUAGCACGAUUGGGGAUGGUGAGGCUUCCUUCAGUUCUGGUACACUUGGCGAUGGUGAGCCUUCAUCAGGAUCUGAUGACACAGCAAUCGUGAUCAGAAAUCCCUCAGAAAAAAAA